GCUCCAGUGGCGCAAUUGGUCAGCGCGCGGUACUUAUAAUGCCGAGGUUGUGAGUUCGAGCCUCACCUGGAGCA
rnacentral:tRNA from 1 species